GGAGGGAUCAUUACCGAGUUUCUUACUCAAAACCCUGCGAACCUACCUCUCUAUGCUUCGGUGGUCGGCCCCGGGGGGGCGCUAAAACGGCCGCCGACAGUAUUCAAAAUCUCUGUCAGUGUAUUCUGAGUAACCAAAAAAAAAACAAAUCAAAACCUUCAACAACGGAUCUCUUGGUUCUGGCAUCGAUGAAGAACGCAGCGAAAUGCGAUACGUAAUGUGAAUUGCAGAAUUCCGUGAAUCAUCGAAUCUUUGAACGCACAUUGCACCCGGUGGUAUUCCGCCGGGUAUGCCUGUCUGAGCGUCAUUUCUACCCUCAAGCCUUAGCUUGGUGUUGGCGGACCUUACCCCCCAGCGGGGUAACCGCUGAAAUUCAACGGCGGUAGCACACUUGCCCCCUGUACAGUACAAUUCUUACAGCGGUCUUGUGGACCAACCAGCCCAUAAACCCCUAAAGAAAUAGCAAGUUGACCUCAGAUCAGGUAGGAAUACCCGCUGAACUUAAGCAUAUCAAUAAGCGGAGGAAAAGAAACCAACAGGGAUUGCCUCAGUAACGGCGAGUGAAGCGGCAACAGUCCAAAUUUGAAAUCUGGCUCUCGGGCCCGAGUUGUAAUUUGCAGAGGACGCUUUUGGCGACGCGCCUUCCGAGUUCCCUGGAACGGGACGCCUGAGAGGGUGAGAGCCCCGUACGGUCGGACGCCUAGCCUGUGUAAAGCUCCCUCGACGAGUCGAGUAGUUUGGGAAUGCUGCUCUAAAUGGGAGGUAUACUUCUUCUAAGACUAAAUACCGGCCAGAGACCGAUAGCGCACAAGUAGAGUGAUCGAAAGAUGAAAAGCACUUUGGAAAGAGAGUCAAAAAGUACGUGAAAUUGUUGAAGGGGAAGCGCUCGCGACCAGACUCGGGCCCGUAGCUUAGCCGGCGUUCUCGCCGUGCGUACUCUGCGGGUCCGGGCCAGCAUCAGUUCGUCACUGGGGAAAGACCGCUGGAAUGUGGCUCUUCGGAGUGUUAUAGCCUCGGUGUACUACCCUCUGAACGGACUGAGGACCGCGCAUCUGCAAGGAUGCUGGCGUAAUGGUCUCUAGCGACCCGUCUUGAAACACGGACCAAGGAGUCGACCUAGUCUGCGAGUGUUUGGGUGUCAAACCCCUACGCGAAAUGAAAGUGAACGGAGGUGAGAGCUUCGGCGCAUCAUCGACCGAUCCUGAUGUCUUCGGAUGGAUUUGAGUAAGAGCAGAUUGGGUCGGACCCGAAAGAAGGUGAACUAUGCCUAUAUAGGGUGAAGCCAGAGGAAACUCUGGUGGAAGCUCGCAGCGGUUCUGACGUGCAAAUCGAUCGUCAAAUACGGGCAUAGGGGCGAAAGACUAAUCGAACCUUCUAGUAGCUGGUUUCCGC
rnacentral:misc_RNA from 1 species